AUUGAACGCUGGCGGCAGGCCUAACACAUGCAAGUCGAGCGGGUGAGUGGAGCUUGCUCCAUGAUUCAGCGGCGGACGGGUGAGUAAUGCCUAGGAAUCUGCCUGGUAGUGGGGGACAACGUUUCGAAAGGAACGCUAAUACCGCAUACGUCCUACGGGAGAAAGUGGGGGAUCUUCGGACCUCACGCUAUCAGAUGAGCCUAGGUCGGAUUAGCUAGUUGGUGAGGUAAAGGCUCACCAAGGCGACGAUCCGUAACUGGUCUGAGAGGAUGAUCAGUCACACUGGAACUGAGACACGGUCCAGACUCCUACGGGAGGCAGCAGUGGGGGAUAUUGGACAAUGGGCGAAAGCCUGAUCCAGCCAUGCCGCGUGUGAAGAAGGUCUUCGGAUUGUAAAGCACUUUAAGUUGGGAGGAAGGGCAGUAAGUUAAUCCCUUGCUGUUUUGACGUUACCAACAGAAUAAGCACCGGAUAACUUCGUGCCAGCCGCCGCCGUAAGAC
rnacentral:rRNA from 1 species